GUGUAAGUUUAAUCAUUCAUAGGAUAUCGAGAGUUUAGUCAUUCAAAGGAUAUCGAAAGAGAAAAAGAGUUAGAGAAAAAGAAGAUCAAGAUCAAGAUCAAGAAGACGAAGACGGUGUUUUUCUUGUAGAUUGAAGAUGGGCACUUUGAAGAAGAAAAAGAAGAAACCCUAGCUAGCUACUUCACAACUAUAUAUGAUGGGUGAAGAAGGUUAAAUGAUUAAUUUCUUCUGAGUCUUCUUUAUGCUCUCUCUUUUCUCUCCCUCUGGGGGAAUUGAAGCCUACUGGUCCGACUAAUUAUAUUAUUCGUUAGAUCUUGUGUGUGCGAGUUUGAAAAAUCAUUUUCCUUUUUUAAAAAUAUUUACUAUUUAGUCUAUAUUAUAUAUAUGACUUUUUUAAAAAAAAAAAAUUAGGAGAAGAAAUUAAAGCACAACAUAUAUCAUCCCAUGAUAUGUGAUGAGUUCAUUUGUUUUUUUUUUCUUUUUUUUGGUUUUGUGUGUGUAUGUGUGUGUUAUAUCAUUACUAUGUUGUUUGGUUCGAGAUAUAUAUACUAUGUUGGUGCAACUAACUAGAAUAUAUAUCAAAGAGAUGAUGAGUUUUUGAAUAUUUCUAUAACCAUGUAAUAAAAUAAAUGUUUGUUUGCUCUUUGAGGUAUAUAUAUAUCAUGAUGAUGAUA